ACCCCAUCGACCUAAAUGACCACGGAACGGGCGACAUCUUAGGGCUCAAUCUUACCUGCAGUUAAGUAGGUCAGGUUUUCCUUGUUUCCAACGGCCUCAGAAAUAGAAUCGAAGCUCGUUAGUACUGUCGUAUGUGUCCACAUUUACUUCCUCUCCACCUUACGCUCCGCGGAGGCUGUUGACCUAUUCCUGCCCAAGGCUGUGUUCUAGAAGAAAACCUGUUUUUUUGGUGUUAGACCCGUGAGUGACAUCAGACACCAUCGUUACGAAGCAAAGAGUUCAGAAAAACUUACCAGGUCGAUGAGGGCCCGGAUGCCUCGAGAUGGGCUUGGCUUUAUUUUACAAGGAAGAAAGUUGCAGCGAAUCUCCCCGAAGCAG